rnacentral:lncRNA from 1 species
GCCACACAAUGUUUAUUUAUUUACAUAUAAAACAUAAUAGUUUUACAUUAAGGUCUAUGAAGAAUUUUAUAUACAAAGAAUCAAACCAAACAAACAAUCUAAAAGAAAAACCAACAUUUCAUCAACUUUCAUCACCAGCCCAAUUACUCUUGAGUUUAGGCCCAGUAGGCCCAUCUUCACCAUAAACUUCAUCAGGAAUCUUCUUCACAAAUUUAACAAAAGCCUUUUUCAAAAGCCCAGGCAAUAUCCUCUCCACACUCUUAACUUCAUCAUCAACAUUAUAAUCAAUCUUCGGCCCCCACUUCCUGAAAUACUUAACCCACGGCGGCUCCACCACUCCUCCGCCGUCAUACUCCGCCGCAAUCACCUCAUACCCUAACCCCGUAUCAAGCACCUUCUUACCUUUCCCCGUAUCAUUCCUAAUCCCAACCCCAUCGUCUCCUUGCAACACCAACCCAGGUUUCGGAUACAUCGCGUGUCCAUGUAGCGAUGCGUACGCCACAAACUUGUUAUUUCCUCCGUCUUGGAACUCCAAAUCGCAAGCAUCGAUCCAAAUUCCACCACUAUGCUGCGAUAAGAACACUCUCCAAAGCUCUCCGGUGAAAUUACUGAUCCGUAGCGUCGUGUGUUCCCAAUCUCCAAUGUGUUCUCCGAUUCUACCCAACGGUAGAUUUACGAAUUUGACCUUGGCUUUUGCUGGUCCAUUGAAAGGGAAGAUCUAGCCAGUAUGAUCCAUCGUUUGAUCCUCCUUGUGGAAGAUUAGAACCGUUUGAUUCGAUAGGGAUUGGUUUCGAUUCUUCGCCUUUCUUGUAUAGUAAUGCUCCGUUGUUGAAGUACCAAGUGACAGAGGAAGGUAGAUAUUCUUCGUCUGGAUGGAAAUAGAUACAUGGAGAAAAAGUUUGGAACAAUUCUUCGAUUUGGGACCCAUUUGGCAUUGUAGAGAAGUCGAGUUUCGUGUUCUUUAAGCAAGAUAAUGAUGGAGGCGAGGAGUUUUGGGUUUGCCAUGUAAAUGUACCUACAUAGACUCCUGUAGCUUGUGUUCCUCUUGUGGUUGGUUUUAGAUUUGAGAUGUUGACUCCGUUUGUGCCCCAUAUCCAUGUAUCAGCUUCACAUUGUUCGGUUAAAUCUGAUCGGAUGCAGCGUAGUUUGUCUAGAGGUGGUUUUUGUGAGUAGUUUGUGACUAUUAGGCCAACGGCUUGAUAUCCAUCAGGAGGAACGGGUUGCCAGAAGUAUCCGGUUCCGUCUUGUUUAAUUUUGAGUGACUCGGUGUUUCCUACGAGGGUGUAAUCUACUGGUGGUUUUAAGGUGUUGCUUGAGAGAUCUCUAGCUGUGAGUACCCAACCGAAAAGAUUACGGUUGUUUGGUUGAGCGUAGUAGCCAAGGAUGGAGAAACCGGAAGGGAUUGAGGAUGGUUCAAAGAAUGUAGCUCCGAGAUUGUCUGGUCCUCCUUCAUAAGUGGACCAAACUUUGUUGAAUGUCGAAACUUGACUAACUUCGAGACCACCUCCUAAGUCAAUGGUUCCUUUCGCAAAACCAUCACCUGAUGAUGCAAGUGAAAUCAAGAUUAUCAAAACUAAUUGGGAGACAGAGAGAGAGAGAGAGAUCAGUAAGAACCGAUGAUAAUACAAACCUCGAGUAAAAGUAGGUAACGGUGAAGGAAACUUGAAUGCAGCAUCGACGGGAAGUGCUUUGGGAAGCUUCUUUGAUACAUCUUCAUGAGAUGGAUCAGAGGUUGAAAGGCAGUUUCCCAUUUUUGGGAUAGCGGAACAUAAACAGGAAGAUUGAUAUUUAAACAGAGGAAACUUGUUUGUUUUUUUCGUUUUUUGUUAAAACAGAGGAAACUUGUAGUCAUGGGUUAUAUAGAAAUGCAGUAUCUUGGUGUCAAUUACUUUACUCAUCAAGAAUAUAGAAAUAAGAAAGAGAGGAUAAGUGUAAAGCAUAUUCUUCUCUGUGAAUGACAAAAACGCAAAUUUAAACGUAU